AUUGAACGCUGGCGGCAGGCUUAACACAUGCAAGUCGAACGAGUGGCGGACGGGUGAGUAAUGCUUGGGAAUCUAGCUUAUGGAGGGGGAUAACUACGGGAAACUGUAGCUAAUACCGCGUACCAUAGGAUGAGCCCAAGUGGGAUUAGGUAGUUGGUGGGGUAAAGGCUCACCAAGCCGACGAUCUCUAGCUGGUCUGAGAGGAUGACCAGCCACACGGGGACUGAGGCACGGCCCAGGCUCCUAACGGAGGGAGGAGGGGGGGAAAUUGGGGAAUGGGGGCAACCUGACGCAGCCAUGCCGCGUGAAUGAAGAAGGCCUUCGGGUUGUAAAGUUCUUUCGGUAGCGAGGCGUUACCAACAGAAUAAGCACCGGCUAACUUCGUGCCAGCAGCCGCGGUAAUUC
rnacentral:rRNA from 1 species